AACAAUGCUCCUGACUGUUCAGAGGUUAAAUGAGAGCCGCUUUAGCCUUGAAGAUCAACUGAAUAAUUACUUUCUUCUGGUCAGUGAUUGAAUGUAUCCCUUUAUGCACAUCUUUACAUUCACGGUUUCAAACCUACUCUGCUUCUUCUCUGUGAAUUCCUUCGAGACUUGCCCAUCUUUCUCUCGGACAGAUUCUCCACCACUGUUUGCUUCGCUGUCACAUAUUGAAAAUGCCCGGUGUGGUCAUUAAAGCAAGAUUCAGUGACGGAUGUCGGAUGCACGCUUCAUUUUGCUGCCUUGGAAAGCCUGCAUAAAUGCGAGCAGAGGCAGAACAGGAUUGGCACCCUUUUCUUGACAUACUCUUCAUUUAGUAAAUGUUUAGUAAAAGUUUGCCUAAUUUUAAGCUUAAAGUCCCGUUAAGUUAGUUGGACCCCUUGAGUACUUGAAAUUAAGUCAAUAUAUAAGCUGUGGCUUAACAGUUGUAGGUACAAGGUGCUUAAGUGGGGGAAAAAUUGGUUAUUAGACUUUUAAAUAAAGGUAGCAUCGCUCUCAAAAGCGAGCAGUGCAGUGGCUUCAGCUGCCUUCUGAAUAAUUUGUGUAUAUCCCACAGUUCUGAGGAUCUGGCUGUUUUUAUCAAUACAUUUAUCAAUAAAGUAAGAAGCAACUCUAGGUGCUCAGGCUUGGAAAGUAUGUACUAGCUGCAGGUGGAACGUGCCUCCUUUUGUUUUUUUUUAGCUGUAAGAAUUUUAUGCCAAUUAAGUUACCAAAUAAAGUUUUCCUGCUUCCUUCCUUGAUUCCUGCUUUGGUUGUCUUGCAGAUUAUACUGUUCAGAGUAUUAGCCGGUGGGGAAAUGAAAUGUGAAAAUUGCUUACCGUAUCAAUAUAUUGCAAGGAGAGUUUUAAUAACUAACUGUUACUAGUGUGAGUGAAAUAGAAGUUAUUAUCGAGGCCUGACUGGACCGAGUUGAUCUUGACCACGUAGCUGUGUUUCAUAGGAAGCACAUACCGUGUGUAUGUACGAAUGACAUUGACAUGCCAUAGCAUUUGCUACAAAUCCACUGUAGUUAUUUUGGGAUGUAUAGGCUUGAAUGCUGAAAAGCAGUAAGGACUUGGGAAUUAUUUAUUACAAGAAGCAGAAUAGGAGACAUGAGUUACUGCCUUUCUCUGUGUUCAUUUCGAGAAGAUCCUUGCUGUCAGCCCUGAGAAGGAGACGUGUUUGUCUCGCUGCACAUCAGGGUGCUUUUCAUCUACAAAUUGUGUUACUGUAACAUUGUCCAAUUCUGUUACUUGUGCAAGCCCUGAAUAUUGAAAAUACACAGUUCAGCAGAGCUUUGGUUGAUGAUAGCCUACGCUUUGCACAUGGCAUCGUCUGUGAGGAUAAUGUAUUUCCAUUUGGUGUGUUGUGCUGCCAACAUAAACAUCUUAUGUCAUACGCUUAUUAAAAACAUUUGCAUUUUGGUUUUCCUUCGUACAGACUUCACGUUCCUGACUGCUUACGGUUUGAGUCUCUUGCUUGAGUGCUUUCAGCUAAUUGCAAGUUAGAGGUUAGCAAGGCUUUUUGAUAGAUAUUUUUUCAUAUAUUGGUAAAAUUCCUGCUGGAAAAGUAGAUACUUUAAUACAGUUGUCUUAGGCUUUUCCUAACACAUAAUUUCUCUUCUGAGUGUCAUAAAACUUAUUUCCUAGUACAAUCAGUAGCAAAGGUAUUUUGUCGUAUAGUUGUAAAUCAGAAGACUGUGAGAACAUCUGUUGAAUCUAGAAUAAGCCUUUGAGUGAUCUUCUCUUCCCCUUUAUACCUGUUUUCCUUUAGGACAGUUUCCUUUGUAUCUUUAUCUACAGGCUCUUUGUGCUUAUUUUUGAAUGUUUCCUUUUGGCAUGUUGCUUUGCUGCUUCCUAAUUGCUUAUGUUUUCAUAAGUCGCUGCUCAGGCUGUUUCCCUCAAGAGUGGUAAAAAAAAAUUUGAUUUUUAUUACUUAUGCUUUUGAUCCUUUGUACUGUUGAGUAGUAUCACAGCAAAAUAGUGCUGAAGCCUCAACUUGAAUAAUAAGCUGUCCAUCCUGCCAAAUGUAGAAUUUUGUCUGUCGGUAAUUCCUGGUGUGGGAGCUGGCAGUGAGGAUGCACGGCUUGGAGGCACUGAGAGGUGACCCGUUGAUGAUUUUGCUACGCAGUUUAAGGAAUUAGCACUUCCCUCUGGCAGAGACCACAGACCUGUCAACAGAAGGGAAUGUGGAGCUACUUUACCCACUCCUCAGUGCAGCGUCCAGCAUCUCUCUUCAAAGAUGCUUUUCUCAACAGUUUAACGAGACAUCAGUUGCAGCACCAAAGCAUCAGAAACAUGAGAGACUAUUUUAUUUCAUCAGCUUUCUGGUAAAUUGUGAUUUCUUAAACUGUGAGAGCAAUCACCAGAGCUCAUCUGUCAAUGGCCUGAGUCGUAUCUGCAGUUUGUCAGUUCUGCCGGCUUCAGUGUUCAGCCAGGACCAGCAACAUCAACGUGGUUGUUCACACUGGGAGUUGGGGCAUUGCUCAUUCAGCACUCAGGGGCACGUAAGAAGUGGUGAUUAGACACUUGCAUUAAGUAUAUUUUGCCUUAAAUGCAGAAGCUGAGAAGAGUUGGUGCUGAUCUAGAAAUCACUCUCUAUUAUCUGUUUAAGUUCUGAUCAAAUCAUUGUGUUUAACUCUGGAUGCCUGAAGCAAGCACCUAAACGAGAAAGUGUUUGGAGAAGAAAGGGAAGGGGGAUAUAUAGGGAGGGAUAAAAUUUAAACGGGGAAGAGGGACAGACUUCAUGUGACCCGAUAAAUCAAAUCUAAACAAGGCAAGGUGCCAUUCUUCUGAAGGUUGGAGAGCAGCGGGAUGGUAACAAACGCAGGAGAUGCUGGACACAAAGAGAUAAAUCAUUCUGCCUUGAGUGAGACUGGCUGUCCAAAGGAUGUGGGCUUUUUCUUUGCACAGUUCCUGCUGCUACGGGGCUGUCACCUUAAAAGUUCAAUGUAAUGGUAAUUAAUAACACUAACCCAGUCCAAAAAUCAGGCCGAUAAUCCUCUACAGACCUUAAUGGCAUAGGUCAUCUGCAGAGUAAUGGCUUUGUCAGCAGUAUUAGCAACAAAGAGUGUAUUUACACACUGUAACAUACUUUAUUGUAUAACGUUGAAGCUCCAAGGUAUGCUAGUCAAGCUGCUGAGAUGAUCACUUCUGAAAUGUGGUCUAGCAGGCAGCUAUCCAGUACCGCUUCAGUAGCUGCAGCAGUUGCUUACACAGAAGGAUAAUGUUAGGAGAUUUUUAGUAUAUUUUAACUCACAGUGUAUAGUAUAGCAGCUGGUGGUAAUGAGGGUCGGGGCUGUUUUUCAAGCCAGGGUCCUAGAGGAUUUCUUGAACUGACUGUAUUUGGAAAGCCACUCCACGGGGGAUUUCCUCCUUUGAUCAGGAUGGUCCCCAGAAAUGGUCAUUUGCAAAUGGAUAUUCACUGCCUGCCUUCUGCUAUGAGUGGAUCUAGCGUGCUUACUUUCCUCUCGUCAAGGACCUGUGGAUAAUCGCUGAGGAGAGAUGAUCAGAUUGUGCAAAGAGGGCUCAUAGGAUGUUGAAGAAAAAAAAAAUUUAAUGUACUACUCUGCUUUUUCGAAGGCAAGAUGUGUCUGAAUAGCUGACAACUGAUAGCUAGAACUGAUUAAACCUGCGUUGACUUGGAACCAUAAUUAAUAUAAAGCACCACUCUUCAAAGCACAUUUUAAAGGACUUUUUAUUAAAAAAAUCUCAACCCCGCAAUCCUAAUUGGUUUCAUUUGCGUUUGAAGAAUUCCUUUGGCUGCUUUUCCAGUCCUCUGACAAGCUUUUCCUCUUAACAGCUGCCUGUAAAUUAGGGCAGUCAUUUUUACCAGUAGCGGUGAUAAGCAGGGAGAGUAGGUCCCUAAUUAAUCCUACAGAAUUUUGUUAUUGAUUCACGACAGCAUGGUUUGUGUUGCUCAGAGCUUUUAUAUGCUUUUAUAUUCAAGAAUCUCGCAAUCUAAGUAAAUUCCAAUAAAGUACGGCUGCUGUAGGAUUAGGUAGCUCCUUUUAUGGCCUAAUUACUUACAGUCUAGGUGCUGGAUAAGAUACCAAGGUUCAGGUAACCACUCUCAGGUUAUCUCAUUUCAGUUCUCGCAUGAUAGCACAGGAACUUAGAAAAAUGGCUCUGGAAGGUAGCUCUGCACGUGAGCUGAAUGAAAAGCCUGGCUCGAAAUACUGAUGUGUAGGUUGAGAAGUUUUAGGAGAAACCAGGGAGGAAAGCCUGUUCUGAGUGUGCUGUUUUCCUUGUUUUAAAGAAAGCAGGGUCUCAUUAUGGAGUGCCAGUUGUCAUGGUUAACAAUGGAGCUCUUCUUUCUUUUUUUUUUUUUUUUU